rnacentral:rRNA from 1 species
UGUGCCUACGGGGCGCAGCAGUGGGGAAUAUUGCACAAUGGGGGAAACCCUGAUGCAGCAAUGCCGCGUGGGUGAAGAAGCACUCCGGUGCGUAAAGCCCUGUCAGCAGGGAAGAAAAUGACAGUACCUGACCAAGAAGCCCCGGCUAACUACGUGCCAGCAGCCGCGGUAAUACGUAGGGGGCAAGCGUUAUCCGGAUUUACUGGGUGUAAAGGGAGCGUAGACGGUGCGCCAAGUCUGGAGUGAAAUGCCGCAGCUUAACUGCGGAACUGCUUUGGAAACUGGCGAACUAGAGUGCGGGAGGG